UCAAACAAAUAAAUGCUGUCGUUGUAUGUUUAGGGUUGAAAUAAAGAAAAAAGCAGCUCAGUCCUUCACUUUCUCCUCUUCGAACCAUGGAAGCCUUCGCACACUAAGCCCUAGCCCCUUCGCCGAACAGCUUCGUCUUCGUCUCACUCACCGUCGUCUUCGCCUGUCUUCUGAUCGCCGUCGUCGUCGUCUGCCCUUUGCUCGCACCGUCGUCUUAGUUUGGUUGCCGAAGAUUCAUCUGGUGAUUCUGCUCGCCGCCUCAGAUCGAAGGGAAUUCACUUCGAAAUGUCAAGUACCAAUAUGGAUGUAGUGGCACAAGAUGUGGCUACAGAAGAACAACAACAAGAACCUCCGAUGGAAGCAACUGCUAAUUUUGUUCCAGAUGAGUCCGCUUUAAUUGAAAAUAGCAACAAACCGAGUGUGAAGAGUGUUUAUUGGCAAUACUUUACUCGAUUUCAAGAGGAAAAAGAUUGGAAGGCAAAAUGCAACCAUUGAAAAUCUGUUCUUGGAGCCAAUCCAAGAAAUGGAACUACAAAUUUGAAGAAUCACGUGCUCCACUAUUGUAAAAAGAUCAAAUUAGCAAACUCUAGGCAAUCAACAAUUGCUGAUUCAUUAUCUAAACAUGCAAGGAGUGCUGCGGAUGCUUUUGUAUUUGAUCCAUCUUAUACAAAAAGGUGUAUUGCCAAGGCCAUAUGUAUGCAUGAGUAUCCUUUAUCUUUUGUGGAACAUGUUGGAAUGAAGGAAGUAUAUGCAUCAAUGCAACCAACUUUUAAGGUGCCUAGUCGAAACACAAUCAAGAAGGACAUUUUUGAAAUGUAUGAGUUGGAGAAGCUUAAUAUGACUAAGCUAAUGGAUGGAAAUGAUAGUCGAGUAGCAGUUACAACCGACAUGUGGACUUCCAACCAAGAAAAAUGAUACAUGGUUGAUAGUUCAUGGAUUUUGCAAAUGCGCGUAUUAAGUUUUACUUAUGUUCCCGCUCCUCAUACGAGUGAAGUGCUCUCGAAUGCAUUAAUGAAAGUUUUGUUAGAGUGAAACAUAGAUAGAAAAUUGUCAACUAUUACAUUGGAUAAUUACUCUACUAAUGAUGCUAUGGUUGAUGAGUUGUUGGGGCGCUUAGAUUCAAAAUAUUUGUUGUUGGGGGUUCCAUGUUGCAUAUGCGUUGUUGUGCUUAUAUCUUGAACCUAAUUGUGAAAGAUGGUCUAAAUUUGGUUAAGGAGAGUGUAGAAAAAAUUCAUGGCAGUGUGGUGUAUUGGACUUCAACCCC